rnacentral:rRNA from 1 species
AAUGAACGCUGGCGGCAUGCCUAAUACAUGCAAGUCGAACGAACCCUUCGGGUCCAUUGGCGUACGGGUGCGUAACGCGACGGAACCUGCCCUCAGGGUCGGCAUAACUCUACGAAAGGGGUGCCUAUACCGGAUAAUGGCUAAGGACCAAAAAUUUAUCGCCCUUGGUUGUACACGCGUUGGAUUAGCUAGUUCGGAGGGUAAGAGACUGCUAAGGCGACGAUUAAUAGCUGGUUAGAGAGGAUGAUCAGCCACACUGGGACUGAGACGCGGCCCAGACUCCUCCGGGAGGCAGCAGUGGGUAAUAUUGGACAGCGGGCGAAGGCCUGAUCCAGCAAGGCCGCGAGAAUGAUGUAGGCCUUAGGGUUGUAAAGUUCUUGUAACUGGGAAGAUAAUGACGGUACCGGGAGAAUAAGCUCCGGCUAACUCCGUG